UGAAGAACGCAGCGAAUGCGAUACUUGGUGUGAAUUGCAGAAUCCGUGAACCAUCGAGUCUUUGAACGCAAGUUGCGCCCGAAGCCAUUAGGCCGAGGCACGUCUGCCUGGCGUACGCAUCGCGUCGCCACCCACCAUCGUUGUGAUGGGUGGCGGAUGUUGGCCUCCCGUGCUACAAGGUGCGGCCGGCCUAAAUGCGAGUCCUCGGCGAGAAACGUCACGACUAGUGGUGGUUGAAUGCCUCAACUCGAGUCCUGUCGUGUCGAUGCCCCUCGCCGUCAUCGGGCUCCC
rnacentral:rRNA from 1 species